CCUACGGGUGGCAGCAGUGGGGAAUAUUGCACAAUGGGGGAAACCCUGAUGCAGCGACGCCGCGUGAGUGAAGAAGUAUCUCGGUAUGUAAAGCUCUAUCAGCAGGGAAGAAAAUGACGGUACCUGAUUAAGAAGCCCCGGCUAACUACGUGCCAGCAGCCGCGGUAAUACGGAGGGGGCAAGCGUUAUCCGGAUUUACUGGGUGUAAAGGGAGCGUAGACGGCAGCACAAGUCUGGAGUGAAAUGCCGGGGCUUAACCCCGGAACUGCUUUGGAAACUGGGCAGCUAGAGUGCAGGGGAGGUAAGUGGAAUUCGUAGUGUAGCGGGGAAAUGCGUAGAUAUUAGGAAGAACACCAGUUGCGAAGGCGGCUUACUGGAGUGUUACUGACGCUGAGGCUCGAAGGCGUGGGGAGCAAACAGGAUUAGAUACCCGUGUAGUC
rnacentral:rRNA from 1 species